rnacentral:rRNA from 1 species
UAGGGAAUCUUCGGCAAUGGGGGGAACCCUGACCGAGCAACGCCGCGUGAGUGAAGAAGGUUUUCGGAUCGUAAAGCUCUGUUGUUAAGGAAGUACGAGUGUGAGAAUGGAAAGUUCAUGCUGUGACGGUACUUAACCAGAAAGGGACGGCUAACUACGUGCCAGCAGCCGCGGUAAUACGUAGGUCCCGAGCGUUGUCCGGAUUUAUUGGGCGUAAAGCGAGCGCAGGCGGUUAGAAAAGUCUGAAGUGAAAGGCAGUGGCUCAACCAUUGUAGGCUUUGGAAACUGUUUAACUUGAGUGCAGAAGGGGAGAGUGGAAUUCCAUGUGUAGCGGUGAAAUGCGUAGAUAUAUGGAGGAACACCGGUGGCGAAAGCGGCUCUCUGGUCUGUAACUGACGCUGAGGCUCGAAAGCGUGGGGAGCGAACAGG